rnacentral:tRNA from 1 species
GUUAUGAUGGCAGUGCCCGGAUACUGCAAAAGGUUUAAGCCCUUUAAAUAGAGGUUCAAGUCCUCUUCUAUAUCA